rnacentral:lncRNA from 1 species
CAUCAUCCUCUUUUCGCAUCCAGAGACUCAGGAGCUGCUCCCUCUCUCGUUGGGCUUAUAACCUCUACUACAAACACUUUGGUGCAAAACUAAUUAUACAAAAUUUCUUUCUCCGACUAGACAUAGAGCGCUCCUUGCCCAAACUAGUAUAAAUCACUUAUAUCCUUCUUGCACACCAUCCGAAUCAGGAGCACCCAGAUCACUCCGACUUCUAUGGUAUGCCCUACAAGCACUACACAAGCUAAUAUAAUCUGAUCCUUAGGGUUUAUUUUAUUUGCAUAUACUCAUUUUUAUUUCAUUUCAUACGUGUCGGAGUGGAUUGAGGUGGAUGCCAAACAAGACCUUAGGAACGUCAAAAUAGCCAAUGUUUAAGUCUCAGCAUUAGUUACUAAUUAGUACCGUUUUCAUUAUUUAUUCGUUCUCAUACAGAUCUCCUGGAUGCAGAAACAUACAAAAGCUACAUCAAAAUCAAACGGCUAUUUUGUUCUCCUUUUGCUCAUUAGGAGGGCUCUCCAGUUGCCUGUUCAUGUCAUGAGAUGUAUCCGCUUCGUCCAUAUUUCUGAACCCAAGCUCUGACAUGUCUUGCUUCGCCAUCAGGUUUCUGAGGAAGAUAGAUUCAGAGAUUUUUAGAACCACACAUGGAAACAAUGGUUUAAAACCGUAACAGAAACACAAGUUGCAUCUAGCAGCAAGAACUCAACUUGGUGCCAAUAGGAAUUUAGAAGAUACAACAACAAAAAUGUUAUUUCUCAAAACAAAAUCAGUACAUGCACUAAAAGUAGCCUAAAUCUGUCAGCCAUUCAGCAGUGUUUUUCUCCCACAACAAAUCAGCCAACAGUACUUUCUGUCAUAGCUUAUCAGCCAAACGAAUAAGAAUCUUGAGGAGCAUGUUCACUAAAUCUCGAUCUAUUAAGUGUCCAAAAGAAACAUAUUUGCCAACAAAAAAAGAUGUUGAAAGCAUUUGAUGCAGGAAAGAGAAUUAGUUUCAACCAAAAGGUCAACUAUCUAGAAACUUGGAUAGUCAUACAUAUUAAUAUGUUUCCAUUGCUUCCUUGGGCCAUUAAUUUUAUAGAAUGGAGCAUGUUAAGUGCAAAAGCUAAAUUACCCCUAGGUUUAGAAAAUAUAGAUAAGCCAAAAAUGAGGUUAUGAACCUAUAUCAUCAAAACAUUUACAGAUCUGAAGUUAGAAUAUAGACAAUAGGAACUAAGCAUACUAACCUCUCCAUUCGACAUUCCAGAUACUUCUUUGAGAACUGCCGACAUUUUUCAGAUUGGAACCCUGUAGAUUUCAGGCAGGCAAGAUAGUCUUUCUUCUCCUGUUAGAACAGUUAUUACUAUCAAUAUUCAUAUAACAAGUAUACAAUGGCAGUGGUAACUGAUGGAAUUCGUCAGCCUUACCAAGUCACACUCAUGUAAGUGAUCCAAUGGGAACACACCUUUUUCAGGAGGUACAGGCCUCACCCCCCUAUUUCCACCAAAAGCACCACCUGUGAAAAAUCACAAAGUUAUUCAGAUCUUCAUAUAAAUAUAAAUUAAAAAUAGUAAAUAUUAAAUAAGAAGCAAUUUUAGGAGGUUAACCCUAGGCUGGUACACCUCCUUACCAGCACUCAUUUGCCAAAAAGUUCAGACAAAUGCCUCCAGGAAUAAAGUCCGAUCUCUAACAGUUGUGUGGACAAUGCUCAGCACUGCAACAGCAUAAUAAACAGGUCAGCAAUGCCAGUAGCAUGUGUAGCAUUCAUACAGUUCAUUUGAUAAGCACGUUAUAAUUGAUAAGUGCAGUGUAAAAAUCCAUUGAUUGAAACCUCGGCAUGGUAACCUUACAUACCAUGUUUAUACCUAUAACUAUUCUAAACAAACUGCCAGACAACAUUUUAGUGUACUACCAGAAUAUCAACAAGUAUCACAAAGUCAAGCGAUAGAAUAGUCAAUAUAAGCAUUUUGUACUUAUGACGUUUGCAAAUUGCAACAACAAACAAGCCCCCAGAUGCAUGAAGCUCUGAAGAUGCAUUUGCAUGAGAGUGGCCAAUGAACCAGCAGGUGUAUCAGGAUUUCAGAACAUACAGAUGCAUCUAGAUGUGGAUCUACAAAAUAGCGGUGUGACUUUGGGUGCAUUAGUGCAGUUAAUUUUCUUGCGCCACCAUUUAUAAGCAUCCAAAUCACUGGCAGGACAAAUCAAAGGCUACAUACCGAUAAACAACAAACGUACAACAAAUCAAGAACCGGGGGUGAACU